UGAUCUCAGGCAUGCGUCAUGACGCCACCCCAGAACUACAGGCAGGAACGAUAGUCACCAACCUAAAGGGUGGAUGUGCAUGAGGAGCUCCUACCAGUGCAGUGAGUGCCAUACCUAUGGAAUGUGAGCCAGCCACUGCCUAUACUCGGCAUACACCAAGGUGACCCAGAAGCCCCACCCCUUGUGUCGAGGAGGCUGCGCCUUUCUCCAUCUCAUUGACCGAAGAUUGCAAUGGACUCAAGAUAAGUGACAAAGCAAAGACUGCAAGAACCAAAUAAGCAUCAAGGCACCCACCUGACUGUCCUGGGCCAUAGAGGGUGCUGGUAUCUGUGUGGGCUGUUGCGUGGUGGGUAGGAGAAGGGGAGUGAGGGGCG